rnacentral:rRNA from 1 species
UACGUAGGGCGCGAGCGUUGUCCGGAAUCAUUGGGCGUAAAGAGCUCGUAGGCGGCCGGUUGCGUCUGCUGUGAAAUCCCGGGGCUUAACCCCGGGCGUGCAGUGGAUACGGGCUGGCUGGAGGCAGGCAGGGGAGAAUGGAAUUCCCGGUGUAGCGGUGAAAUGCGCAGAUAUCUGGAGGAACACCGGUGGCGAAGGCGGCAUCCUGGACCAACACUGACACUGAGGAGCGAAAGCCAGGGGAGCAAACGGG